AUGCGGGCCUUUUUUUGGAACAUCCGCGGCUUCGGCCAUGAGGGCCGUCGCCGCCAACUCAUCGAGUACAUACGAGACGAACACAUCGACAUCAUUGCCAUCCAGGAAACCAUGCGCACUGAGUUCUCCCUCUAGGAGCUCGAGUGUCUUAGCUCUCACCUCUUCGCUUGGCAUUGGCUCCCUUCUAGUGGGACCACUGGCCACUCUGGCGGCAUCCUGUUAGGGGUGAAGGAUGCCACCUUUGAGGUUGGGAGCAUGGAUCGGGGGGAAUUCUUUGUGAGUAUGGAGAUCUUCGAGCGGGCCCUCAACUUCAAAUGGCAGGUCGUGAUUGUCUAUGGUCCGGCGGACCAUCGCCGCUCCCCGACCUUCUUGGAGGAGCUUCAUCUAAAGAUCUCCAACUCUCUCCUCCCAAUAGUUGUGGGCGGAGACUUUAACCUCAUCUGUUCCCCGGAUGAGAAGAAUAAUGACCGGAUUAACCUCCCCCGGAUGCAGUUAUUCAAUGACUGGAUCGCAGAGCUGGGCCUCCGUGAGCUGGACCGGACGGGUGCCCGCUUCACUUGGACUAACCGUCAGGCUGACCCGACGCGAUCCGUCUUGGAUCGCGUCCUAGUUUCUCCGGAAUGGGAAUUAUGCUGCCCCUUGGCCUCGCUUCGUGCGAUUACCCGGAUCGGGUGUGACCAUGUCCCCCUCUUCCUCUCCACGGCCGACGAGCUCCCCCCUCCCCGCCGCGUUUCUAGUUUGAACUCUUCUGGCUCAACCAGGCCGGCUUCCGAGAGGCGGUUGCCGCUCGCUGGAUCUCUGCCCGCUCUUCCCCUCAUCGCGCCAUGUCUGCUGUUGACUCAUGGCACUUCUGCGCCAAGCUUGCCCGCCAAUUCAUGA
rnacentral:rRNA from 1 species